UCACGAGGCGCGAGUCGAAGAAGAAAACGGCUGCAUUGGUUGCAUCUUCGAAUCCAGGUGGGUUGCGCCACUCACUUGGGAACAAGAACAAGAAUCAAUGUUAGCUUUCUCCUGCUGCGCUGUUUCCCGGUUUUCAUACAGCAGGAAUCUCUCUACGAUUUGUGCCGGCUCGAGUUCCCCAAGUUGCCGGACGAACGGUGCCGUUCCGCCUAUGUCUCCACGCCAACGCGUGCCUACCCGUUCCCAGACUGGCUACUCUACGUCGACCAUGAAGAAACAUGGUGAAAAGAAGCACGGUGGAGUCUACCCUGAGAAGAGAGAGAGAAAGGAGCCACCGGCCACUCCACCGGUUCCUCCACCCACUCCUCAAGAUGCUCUCGUUGAGUCAUCAGACGUGGUUUCCAGCCCGCUGGCGGCAUUAUCUCCACCUCUGUCACCAGCAGCCGGCGCAUUAAAGCAAGGCAGGCGACAACCGGUUACAGGCCAGCGCAAGGAAUCCAGGCCAAUAUUACCCAGAAAGCCGUAACUUAACUGCCGAAGAUCAUGACCGUAACGCCCUAAGCAGACUCCCAUGAGUGAUGUGACAAUUUAGGCCUCACCGUCCGGCGAGUUUGACCAACAUAUACAUAUAAAUGAAAGUGUUGCUUUCCGCCAACGGUCGGCUACUACAACACGACCGGCGUCGAAAUCGAAGCACUGGAAGAGCUCGCCGCGCACCAUACCGCUUACGUAGUACGCGACAGCACUCCGUCGCCAGUGCAAGACAUUGCGAAGUCGACCCGCGCGCCCAUCUCCGACAGCCGCUGGACGGACUGCCUGGCCAGACUUAAGCCUAAACUUAUCGGCAGCGUAAACGUCACAACCACCGCUCGGCUCUACGUGGCGGCAGUCCUGCAGCUUUGGGCACAUCUGGGAGAAAGCAGGUUGCACUUUUUCCUCUCCUGGUGCACGGUGCAGGUGGCCGCUCUUUACGCCAACCAGGAACUCGUAGAGAACUACUACGCCAGGAGCUCUAGCAGAACUCGAGCCUAUCACGGAGCCUUUUGCCUCAGUCGCGCCAUGUCACUCUCCGGUGCUCAGGCGUUGCUUUCCAACGAAGGAGUCGAGGACAUCUAUCAGAGCAGCGCCGGCGCGUACGUCCGAGAGAUUACUUUGUCCGUUCGCGAGGCGUUCCGUAGCCGGCUUUCCAACUGGACGUACUUCAACCCAAACGUCACGGUCAUCUCCGACUGGACAUCCCUGGCGGCGGUGUUUCGCUACGUCGCCGCCUCUGCCAACGACACUGCAGUGGUACCACUUGGCCAGCAGCCGGACAUGACGACCGACUCGUUCGUACGUAACGGCAAAAGGUGGCGCAGCUGGGGAGCGACACCGCAGGCUUAGCAACCGCCACGCUUUACUCGGCAAGCAAGCUCCGCUACUACCUAACAUGGCCCGACGGCCGAGACUUCCAGUUCCUGCCCUACGCUUUGUCUUUCCCCAUGUUCGAAGCCGACAUGACGGAUGCCCUCAACUACGGCGGCCUCGGGGCCAUAGUCAGUCGCGCGCUUGGCGGGCUUCUCAUCGACGCUCACGCGGCUGACCCGGAAUCGGCAACGCCGGUCAACGUCCUGCUGGAUUGCCUGCGCGGAGACCCGUUCGCGGACCCGGGGAGCGACGACGCGGGCAUUGCCUUCGGGCCGGAAGCUUUCGGAUUGGGUGCGUUAGUGGAGGCGUACAGGAGUGUGGCCGCGUCUGAUCGGUCACUCGCUGGCCUGGAAGCGUAUACAGCGCAAUGCAGCUGCUCUUCAUCGCCCUAUGCUACAACAAGUGUGAGGGCGUGUCGAAAACAAACGACGAGUCCUUGUGCAACGCGCCGCUGAGACACCUGCCGGCGUUCGCGGAGGCCUUCCGGUGAAACGCGCAUGCGCAAAUGAACUCCUUGCACCGCUGCCAUUUUAUAUGACGCGCUCUCACUUCUAACGCACGUAGCCAACCGUGCUCUGUGUUAGAUGCGCCGAUGAUAUAUGGCCCAAUUGUGUACUUUAGUGCGUGACGGUGUGCCUGUGAUUAUUAUCAAGCAGUGUUCACGGACCUGACUUCUUUGCUUUGUGUCGCGUGUAGGUAUUGAUAGAGAAAAUGACUAGGAAGAUUUAGUACUUACAGCAUCUUGCCUUUCAUCGUGACCUCCGCUAAAGUACAUUCUGUAUCUUUAUUCAGCUCGUCACAUCAAAUGAAUUUAUUCUUUUUUCUAGCACCUAUAUUGUGCAUGUGGCACUUGCUAGAACAACUUGUGUAAAGUGCGCUGUCAUCUCUCGACUAGUUUAACGCUCCUUAAAAUUUUGUGUGUGUACUUUUCUGCAGCGAGUGACUCCAUGCUGAUCAAGAAGAAUCGUGCAAUUUGAGGUUGCUACUGUGUGAAUCGAAAUCAUGUGAAAUAAGGACACGACGUUCGGCUAAUUCACGGUUCUGUUGACGCUGCUACAGGCUGCACCUGGGAACAAUUUAAGUAGAUUUCAAUUACCACGAACGUCUAUUACAAGAAAGGCGAGGCAUUUCUGCGUUUAUCGGUGUGAAUUUCCUGUGAAGUCUUUUUCGUAGCACUUGAGAAGUAGCUGCGCCAAUUUAUUGCCGAACAUGCUUGCUACACAGGCGCGUAAAUGCGUCAUAAACUACGGCUUCGUCACUGCGGCCACAUUUAUUGACGUACUUCCUCAAUGCGUCAAGUGUUGAAGCCUCUCCAAAAAUAAUGUGCCAUGUUCCAGAGAGGAAGAGAGACUUCUAUAUUGUUCCCAGUGGUAGGUAUGGUGAUAAUUAGCUUAACUGAUUUGUUGUUUGCCUUUUUUUUAAGAUGGAGCUGUCUGUGUGCCGCAAGCUUAACCCAGCGGGCUCGAGCUGAUUGAAGAAGAGGUUAUAUUAGCUUUACGCUCGGUCCACCGUUGGGUGUCUCCCGACCGCUAAAACAACGUCGCGUAUUUUAUAAUUGUGGCUAGUAAACCACAGGUUCGCUUACCCUUCCUCCAACAAACUCGGAGACACAUUAACAGGAAUAAAUAUUUGGCAAGAAUGACAAUUUAGAAUAGGGAACUUGAGCUGGCUGAUGAACCGUUUCCCUUUCCCUUUUCUUUCUGGAACACUUUAAGGGGAACACGAGAGAUGCUGACAAGGAGGAUUUCAUGGUCGUAAUCUGUCACUGAGGCUAGAUUUAAUAUUUCCCUUUGU